rnacentral:rRNA from 1 species
GACGAACGCUGGCGGCGUGCUUAACACAUGCAAGUCGAACGGAAAGGCCCUGCUUUUGUGGGGUGCUCGAGUGGCGAACGGGUGAGUAACACGUGAGUAACCUGCCCUUGACUUUGGGAUAACUUCAGGAAACUGGGGCUAAUACCGGAUAGGAGCUCCUGCUGCAUGGUGGGGGUUGGAAAGUUUCGGCGGUUGGGGAUGGACUCGCGGCUUAUCAGCUUGUUGGUGGGGUAGUGGCUUACCAAGGCUUUGACGGGUAGCCGGCCUGAGAGGGUGACCGGCCACAGUGGGACUUGAGAUACGGCCCAGACUCCUACGGGAGGCAGCAGUGGGGAAUAUUGCACAAUGGGCGGAAGCCUGAUGCAGCAACGCCGCGUGCGGGAUGACGGCCUUCGGGUUGUAAACCGCUUUCGCCUGUGACGAAGCGUGAGUGACGGUAAUGGGUAAAGAAGCACCGGCUAACUACGUG